CCAUCGUCGUCCUCAGCGAUCGCCACGGGUCGGGCCCCGGUCUCGGCGGCGUCGUCGUCGGGGUGGUAAGGCGGCUCGUCACGGUGAUGAGCAGCGGGAACCAGCGGUUGUUGGUGCUCCGUGGGUCGCAAUAAUGCCCGCGCUGAGCAGUCGCGGACUUGGAAGAGGAGGAAGGGGACGAGGAUCAGCGGCAGCAUUGUUGCGAAAACGGGGCGUGCCAUCUUCUUCUUCUUCUUGUGCAAAGUGCGUGGCUGCGUUUGCGCGCGCGUGUGUGGAGUGUAGUCUCGGUCGCCAAUUCGAGCUGGGCUAGCUAGC
rnacentral:lncRNA from 1 species